UUCUCGGCAAAUUAUCCUCAUAAGUUUGACGAAAAGAGGAACCGUUUAAAAUUUACUAAAUUUUAGGUGGUGUCACAAAAUCGGAGGCCCCGACUGUUUACUAAAAACACAAUUCAGAGCAAUAAUUAAGAUAAUAGUAUUCUGAAUGAAAUUUGCCCAAUGCCAUUAAUAUAAGAGAGGUAAUAAAUAGUUACUAAUCGAAAGUCUGGUUAAUAGCGGUCUUAACUAUGAGGAUCCAAAGGUAGCAAAAUAAAUUGGCCAUUAAAUGUGGUCCGGUAUCAAUAGUGUAACGAUGGUCUCACUGUCUCUACAACUUGCUCAGUGAAAUUGAAUUACCCGUGCAGAUGCGGGUUGCCUCCAGGUGGACGGGAAGACCCUAUGCAGCUUCUACUGA
rnacentral:rRNA from 1 species